GGUUCUCUGCAUAGCGCACAAGUCUUUCGCCUUUUACUAAAGACUUCCGUGCAGGGGAACAGUAA
rnacentral:snRNA from 1 species